rnacentral:misc_RNA from 1 species
AUCAAUGUUUAACUUUGUCAGUAACCGUAGUGCCCGAAGAACACCUUCAGCAGACUCAAACUCACAGAAUCCAAAGGUUCUAGGAGUUCCAUCCGAUGGAUUUUGGGCCCGUUUCCAGCUCUUCACUGGUCCACAUAGCUGAAGAAGGGACAGCAUGAAAUCAUUAUCCACUGAUUGUGCAAUUCGGCCAAUAUAAAUAGUAGUUUGUGGUUGUUCGGCUGGUGUAACACUUGGGAGCACAGCAGGCCUAACCACAGGAGGGAUGAUUGGGCGCACACCAGGAAUCCCAGGAAUAGGAGGUCGUGG